rnacentral:rRNA from 1 species
UACAGAGGGUGCGAGCGUUGUUCGGAAUUAUUGGGCGUAAAGGGCGCGUAGGCGGCGCGGUAUGUCACCUGUGAACUCUCCUGGCUCAACUGGGAGCUUGCAGGCGAAACUGCCGUGCUGGAGUGUGGGAGAGGUGCGUGGAAUUCCUGGUGUAGCGGUGAAAUGCGUAGAUAUCAGGAGGAACACCGGUGGCGAAGGCGGCAUCCUGGACCAUUACUGACGCUGAGGAGCGAAAGCCAGGGGAGCAAACGGG